GCCUGGUCUCUUUUUAUAUGGAGGAGUCCACUUUCCUCUGUCGAGAGAGAGAAUGGCGUCUACUGCGACUGGAGUAGGCAUCCAAAGGGAUCGCAUUGAUCCCGACUUUCAGCCGAAGCAACGUUAGGUUUUGAUGAAUCUGGAUCAUGCAAUCCCUUUAGAAUCCUACUCUAGUUGCUCCUGACUUCGGAUACGGUGGAUACUCUCUUAUCCUGCGCCCACAUUUAUUAUGAUCCAUAACAACACGGCCAUCAACGGCAAAGCCAUCCGAUCGAGGACGGUUUCGCCAGGCCAGUUUAGAUCACAAGUACUUGCUCGUUUUCCUUUACCUUGCAUAUUUUGUUGCUUCGCAUUACACUUUCACGCGGUCUUUCCCUCCCCUCCCCCCUUUUUGUAGAUUUUUUUUUUUUUUUGUUCAUUAUCUUCAUUGCUAUCAUCAACAAAAAUAUUUAUUGUCUUCUUCUUCUCCAUCCUCCUCUGAGAAUAAUGAUCUUUACAAUAUCCACUCCACUUGCUAGUAUGUAAAUUUGCUUAGAUCGAUCUGCAUGUUUUGUUAUGUUAAUCUGACAGAACAAAAUGGACUUUUGGCUGGGAUUUUCGGAUUAACUGCUUAUGCCAAGUUUAAAAAUUAUUCCUACGUUUUGCUUAUGCGUGGAAGUUUGGAUCAGACUCGUGACCCCAGAUGAAGACACAUGGGUCCUAAUCUCUAGAGCACAACGAAACUCGACCACAGAAGAGAGAGAUGCAGUAUUCUAAGCUCCAGCCAUGUGGCAAGUUUCAGCCAUUCAUUCAGAACGUAUAAGCACCGUACUCAAGCCCAGAAUCGGUCUUUUUUUAUGGAUUCUGGAACGUUGAUUUGGAAUCUUAACUCUAUCCAUGCCUGAAGGAAACUCAUCUAGCUUUUGCCAAGUUGGUGGCGUAUAUGGUUCAGUCUUCCCUUGGUCUGGCCCAAAGAAAGGAAAAAGUAAAAUGACAAAACUGGAUUGAGAUAACCGUCCCAGAUGGAAUAAAGGUUUACUGUUUGCAUGAGGUAGAUGGAAUAAAGGUUUACUGUUUACAUGGGCGAUGAUGGCAAAUGGCAAUAGCAUCAUGAUACUAUUCAUGAUACAUCAAUAACUAAUGUAAUGAGAGGUAGAGGUAGAGGUAGAGGUAGAGCUACAAAAAUGCAAAAAGCCAUUUUCCAAUGGAACAGUGAGUGGCUUUUAUUUAUCUGACAAGUUGUUAGCUGUAAAUUUCAAAUCAUUACACAUCUUUCAAUCAAUUUACUUCCACUUUUCA